UCCUACGGGGGGCAGCAGUGAGGAAUAUUGGUCAAUGGGCGGGAUCCUGAACCAGCCAAGCCGCGUGAGGGAAGACGGCCCUAUGGGUUGUAAACCUCUUUUGUCAGAGGACAAAACCAGGGUCGUGUCCCGGACUGCGGGUACUUGAAGAAAAAGCAUCGGCUAACUCCGUGCCAGCAGCCGCGGUAAUACGGAGGAUGCGAGCGUUAUCCGGAUUUAUUGGGUUUAAAGGGUGCGUAGGCGGUCUGUUAAGUCAGCGGUAAAA
rnacentral:rRNA from 1 species